rnacentral:rRNA from 1 species
GAUGAACGCUGACAGAAUGCUUAACACAUGCAAGUCGAUGGGGAAGUGGUGCUUGCACCAUGGUAACCAUGGCGGACGGGUGAGUAACGCGUAAGGAACUUGCCUGCGGGACUGGGAUAACAGCAGGAAACUGCUGAUAAUACCGGAUAAGGUCAUUAAGCUGCAUAGCUUAGUGAUGAAAGGAGACGCCUGCGGAGAGCCUUGCGUCCUAUUAGCUAGUUGGAGGGGUAACGGCCCACCAAGGCGAAGAUAGGUAGCCGGCCUGAGAGGGUGGACGGCCACAAGGGGACUGAGAUACGGCCCUUACUCCUACGGGAGGCAGCAGUGGGGAAUAUUGGACAAUGGGGGCAACCCUGAUCCAGCAAUUCUGUGUGCACGAAGACGGUUUUCGGAUUGUAAAGUGCUUUCAGAAGGGAAGAAGGAAGUGACGGUACCUGCAGAAGAAGCGACGGCUAAAUACGUG